CACGUAGGGCGCGAGCGUUGUCCGGAAUUAUUGGGCGUAAAGAGCUCGUAGGCGGCCUGUUGCGUCCGCUGUGAAAGCCCGGGGCUUAACCCCGGGUCGGCAGUGGAUACGGGCAGGCUAGAGGUAGGCAGGGGAGAAUGGAAUUCCAGGUGUAGCGGUGAAAUGCGUAGAUAUCUGGAGGAACACCGGUGGCGAAGGCGGUUCUCUGGGCCUUACCUGACGCUGAGGAGCGAAAGCGUGGGGAGCGAACAGG
rnacentral:rRNA from 1 species